UUGCAGCCGUCAAAAUUAUCCCCAUCUUCGACCUAAGGAGUAGGACUACUAUUCUUCUCCGCAACAGAAGCAGAGCCACCACCUCGUUAAAGAUCUGCAUAACCUCAUCACUAUCUUCUCUACCUUGCCACCAUGACCAGAUUCACCACCAUCGGCUACCAGUCUAGCACCACCUUUUCCUCCUCCUCCUUUCUGUGUUGUCUCGAACCGCUCCUUCCAGUUCAGUUACCAGUAUCAAGUGACAUAGACGUAUUUUUUUUGAUCAGUGUUGAUCAAAAUCAAUGAGUAGCUUGGUGGAGAAAUUGAUGAUAAUUAGUUGUUUCUGAAAAAUUAGGUCCUACUGUGGUCUCAUUGGAUUGAUUCCCUUAGUGGUUGCAACUCUUUAGUGGGGAAAAGCGAACAAAGAAGUGGGCAUUUAAGUGGGAUUUAUACAAAUGUGGAAUUGAGUUAAGUAUUGAGGAAGAUUAUAAGAACAUAAUGUUGAAUUACAAUUUUACUGUUAGAAUGCUAUCUGUUUCAGUUGGUAAUUAUUAUGUGGACAUUGCAGGACAGAAGCUGAUUCUUGCAAAAAAUGUUGUAGCAUUGUUUAAGAAGGAAAAAUAUAUUAAAGGCCUACAAAAUCUUUGUGCAGAGAACUUAAUGGAAUUUCUGGGUCAAGAGGUGGACCCUCAGCAUUGUAGUAAAAGUACAGUAACUUAGAAGGCACAUGUUUACAGCUUUGGAGUACCUAGUGGUUAAACUUGCAGCGUGGAGUGGACAAAAACCUUUCAACUUCCCAACAGAUCAUGCAAGAAACCUUCAAGGUCUGGUAAAUUACACCUAAAUUUCAUUCUAACUCAGACAAUGAAUUGGUCAAGUAUUAUCCAAUCUAGCAUUUCAGAAUUUCAGUUGUUAGGGAGACUGGAAGGUGUAAAAGAGACAGAUACAGAUUAAAAGAAAACAAUGGAGCUGCACAUAUGGAUUGAUUACGUACAAGCUGCUGUUAUUUGAAGCUUAUUGUUUCAUGUUCUUUUUGUUUUUGCUUUUUUAAAAUAAUUGUAGUAAUUCUUUUUCUUUGGAUUUUUCAUUUAACUUUUUUGAUAUGAUAAAAAAAAUUAAGACAUCAUUGAUACAUUUAUUAAGUAUAUUUGUGCAA